GAUGAACGCUGGCGGCGUGCCUAAUACAUGCAAGUCGAGCGAACGGACGAGAAGCUUGCUUCUCUGAUGUUAGCGGCGGACGAGUGAGUAACACGUGGAUAACCUACCUAUAAGACUGGGAUAACUUCGGGAAACCGGAGCUAAUACCGGAUAAUAUUUUGAACCGCAUGGUUCAAAAGUGAAAGACGGUCUUGCUGUCACUUAUAGAUGGAUCCGCGCUGCAUUAGCUAGUUGGUAAGGUAACGGCUUACCAAGGCAACGAUGCAUAGCCGACCUGAGAGGGGGAUCGGCCACACGGAAACUGAGACACGGUCCAGACUCCUAGGGGAGGCAGCAGUAGGGAAUCUUCCGCAAUGGGCGAAAGCCUGACGGAGCAACGCCGCGUGAGUGAUGAAGGUCUUCGGAUCGUAAAACUCUGUUAUUAGGGAAGAACAUAUGUGUAAGUAACUGUGCACAUCUGGACGGUACCUAAUCAGAAAGCCACGGCUAACUACGU
rnacentral:rRNA from 1 species